rnacentral:tmRNA from 1 species
GGGGGCGUAUUGGCUUCGACGGGGAUGUUGAGGCGAGGUAAGCGGGUCGUGGCGUCAUCCACGUUAAAAGGGCACCCUAUAAAUUAAAGAACAACGAUAACGAAGUUCUUCUCGCUGCUUAAGCAGUGAGUGUCCCGCCCCGGAGGACCACGGCCGGGGAUGCGGGCAUGAAGCAGUGGUGACCGUGAGGCGGCCAAGCUUUGCCCCGCCCACGCAUCAUGAAGCUACUGAAUCCUUUGGCCUGUGGGUCGGCGAUUGGAUAAGGGAAUGUAAAUGACCCUCUGCACCCGGAGAAAGCCGCGCGGAGAUGUUUUCGGACAGGGGUUCGACACCCCUCGCCUCCACCA